ensembl:lncRNA HULC hepatocellular carcinoma up-regulated long non-coding RNA
UUGCCAGCAUUGUUUCGAUAGUGCUGCUUAAUUCUUGGAAGGCCUCUUUGCUUUCUUCCCUGAGGUUCUUCGGACUUCACACAUUCCAGCAGUAGCUCUCUCAGCUCCUGUCCUGCACAGCUUUGAAGUGCUGGCUGGAGUGCAGUGGUGCCAUCUCGGCUCACUGCAGCCUCAACCUCCUGGGCUCAAGCGAUCCUCCUGCCACACCCUCCUGAGUAGCUGGGAUUACAGGUGAUGUCAUUGAACUCUUAAGUGCAAGAUGAAACAAGUCUUUCUGGGGUUCUAAGUAGGACACAGCCCUGGUGAUGGCUUUCUGAGGAUGACACGAUGGAGGCUUCUCCAAUAGCUCUAAAACUGCGGUGUGGAAAACAUUCGGCAGCCUCAAAGAGCGGUCUUGUUGACCCCAACUAUAUCAUUUUUCAUCAAAAUCAUUCUUGUAAAGAAUGACCAGGCAACACUCUUUGAAAAUUGGAGGCCAUUUGCAGCUGCUCUCUGUUGAGGAAAGUGAAUAAUAGGGUGCCCUCAAGGAAUUGCAAAGGUAUCACUCAACAGAAACUUUCGUGUCUGAAGAAAACUAGAUCAUUUUAUCAUGUCCUAAGUUAGUGGCAUGAAAGCACUGCCCUGGAAGCGAUGGAGCAGCAAGUGCUCUACCCACAUGGAAGUCUUUGGGACCUGCACUUCAAUGAGCGCAGAGAG